CUCCUGCAGGCUAUGCAAGGGCUCCACCACCAAAUUACCGCCCCCCCAGCCCUAUGUUUAAAAAAACUCAGAUUAAGACCUAGACUUUCCUUUCUCCCCCUUCUUCCCACCCCAACCCCACUCCCUACCCCCAGGUUAAGCAAGAAGCUUCUGGGGAAACAUUCUCUCUCAGAGUGUUUGCCCAGGCUUCUGGAGACCCAGCCCACUUGGCCAAGUUUCUGUUUCAGUGGAAACUCUCAGUGUUUCCAUUGUCUGACUUGAGAGUCUUCAAAUUACUCUUCUUAAUUAAGUGGCCUGGGUGUUAUUUUGACAGAGCCUCAGCCCAGAGAUUUUCUUCACCUCUGUGUUUUAGAAGCCAAAAAUGAAAGGGGUUUAGAGAGAGGGCAGAUCGAGGGCCUUGCAGUGUGUACAUCUGAAAGGCAGCCAUUCUGCUGGUAGAAAUGACAGUGGGCCCCAAGGUAGGCCUGACUUCCCACACCGAGGUUCCUUAGAAUCUUAAAGGCCAGCAAGAACUUUUUGCAGAAGUAGCUGUCUGGGUUUCAAGGUGAGUCAAAUAACAUCUCUUGCCUAAGUACCUGGUGGUGGCUUCACAAAUAGACAUUUGUCCUCUCAACUAAGACAUGCAUUCUUACUGUGUGCCAGGGGCUGGGGGUAGAGAACAGGCAAGCGACAAGGCCCUUCCUCAAGGGACUUAUGAUGGGUCUGGGGCAGACAGAACAAAUUAGUGAACCAACAAUUAAGCAAGGUAAUACCAGAGAAUGGUAGGUGCCAGGGAGCAAAUAAUGCAAAUGUAAAAGGAAAGGCAGUGGUGUGGGGGAGGGAACAGGUCUAGACAUGUGGCCAUUUGGAGAUGGUGACAUUGGAACUGAGACCUUACCAAACAUCUUCCGUGGUUUUAGUGGCCCCCAAUGGUCCAUGUGAAGACCAUCACCCUGGUCUUCAGGGUGAUGGUAUUGCAAAGUGGUGGAACAACAGGUUGAAGGUCUUUUGAUUAUUAGGGGUGCUGCCCUCCAAAGGGAUUCAAGAAGUUUUCCUGUGACUAUCUUGGUAGUUCUCUGUGGAAGAUUAUUAUAAAGAGAACAAAACCUGACCCUGCCCUCUCUCUGCUUCCUGAUUUGGGAUGUGACCACCACAUCUUAUUCCUGCACAGUCUCCCACUGUGAUAUGAUAU
rnacentral:lncRNA from 1 species